rnacentral:lncRNA from 1 species
AGGAGUUGAAGUUCGAAUUCAAGAAUUUUCACUUAUUUAUUUUAAAACAAUGAAUUUUUAGUUAUUAGGUUACUUGACAGAAAAAAAUAUCGAACAUUAUAUAUUAUUAAAUUAUUUAAUUAACUAGUGAGAAUAUAAUGAAAGACAACAAAAUGAUGGUUCCUAGCCAGCAUGAUUUAAAAAAAGAAUCAAUGCACUCUGUUUUUUAUUUUUCACGCUU